rnacentral:tRNA from 1 species
GUCUUGAUAGCUCAGCUGGACAGAGCAACUCUCUUCUAAAGAGUCGGUCGUAGGUUCGAAUCCUACUCAAGACG